rnacentral:rRNA from 1 species
UACGUAGGGGGCAAGCGUUGUCCGGAAUUAUUGGGCGUAAAGAGCGUGUAGGCGGUCCGGUAAGUCCGUUGUGAAAGUCAGGGGCUCAACCCUUGAAUGCCGGCGGAUACUGUCGGGCUAGAGUCCGGAAGAGGCGAGUGGAAUUCCCGGUGUAGCGGUGAAAUGCGCAGAUAUCGGGAGGAACACCUAUGGCGAAGGCAGCUCGCUGGGACGGUACUGACGCUGAGACGCGAAAGCGUGGGGAGCAAACGGG